ensembl:lncRNA
ACUCUUAUGUUUAUGCAUAUCGUUUUUUAACUAAUGGUAUCUUCUAGAAAUCAUUAAUGUCAGUUUACAUCUGACUUUCUGCUGCUCUUCCUCUCACAUUAUUCAUGUUUGAAAGGCUGUUCAUAGCAUUUGUCAGAGAAUGGCUCUUUACCUUCCCAGUGCCAUCUGUUUGGACUGUGCAAGCGGGGAGAUAUUCCUACUUUGCAGUCUCUUUACAAAGAACAGGCUGCAUCCACCAUGUGCAGCUCCUGCCAGGGCAAAGAAUAACAACCAAUUGGGGAAUACAUAAAACAAAUUGGAUGAUGCUUCAGAGAGCCUCUGUAGCCCAACAAGAAAGCAGAAAGCACCAGUUGGAAAAGCUAAACCUUCCAGGAGCAUCUUGCAGACAUGCAGACAGCUGGGCGAAUGGAGGGACUGUGAAGACAUUCCUCAGCUGCUUCAGUGAAAGGUUUGGUCAGGUCAGCUUCAGAACCACGGGAAGCAAUAACACCAGGAGGAGUGGCUGGAACACGUGGGAGCAGGAAGGAUGGGAUGAGGGGUCUCCAAUUGGCUGUUUCUGUGGUGGACUCUCCCCAUUGCUUUAACUCGGGGCCCCCUGUACACGGAGAACAGCUGUGGAUGUGAUUUGUCUCGCUUAAACUGAGGCACAGAAAAGGUAGAUGCUGCAAUCUAAAGGAUGUUUCUUUUGCAACGAAUGGAGAUACACCUCCAAAGAGCUCUUUGUCUAACUUCUUGUAGAUGGCUAUCUAAGGAUGAGAUGAUUGUCCCCUGUAUCUUUCCAUGGACCACAGAAGGAAACUAGACCUGGCCCUUAGCAGUUAGCUUUUUGAUUUGUAUUUUGGGACAGCUAAACCCACCAUAUAGAGAAGGCAGGACUAGAGAUGGAUGCAAAGAACAAUCACAGGCCUAAUUAUUUCUGAGAUGAAAGGGGUGAAUACAUGGAAUGCAUUUAUCUUUUCAGUAUCAGAGUGAACGUCCUGUAAAUUCUCAGCUCUGCAGGCACUGUGGUUGUCUGUGCAUUUGAUGCAAAGCAACCAGGCCGUUAGGUGAAGUUCUCUGGCAGAGCUGUGUGCUGGGCCUGCAGAACCCUCAUCUCUCUUUGAUUCAGUGGAGAAGUACUGCAUUCCCCCCUGAUUUGUGGGUGUGAUCUCAAAAAGCAAAACUGGAACAGCAGGAACACAUUCCCAGAAGUACAACAGAGUGAUGGGGCUGUUAUCACUUAGACCAGCUAGAGGGUGGUUUCUGAUCUAGCUCCAAAUGCCGUCCAUCUAAACCUGCAGAAAUUAACCUCUGCAUCUUUUGAGAUGUAUUCAAAUCUACAGGCCUGAAAAGAUGCCCUGCGUUUCCCCAUAUGUCAGAGUAGUGAGGUCAGCAUGAAUUCCAAGUCCUGAAGCCACAGAGCUGAAGUGCAAACUUGGAGCUUGGGCUGUGGAUUGUUUCAGUGAUUCUACUAAGUCUGGCUUACAAGGGUAUUACUUUAAUCUACCAAUGACUUCCUUGCAUAUACAUGUAAUAAUAUACAUCAUCCUGAGUUCCUGGUCAUGCAUACGGCUGCUCAGCUAUGCACAGCCACCUUAUCAGUCAGGCUUCAGUGGUGGUGACUCUGUUGAAAAACUGUAAGCAAUGAUAAGGAAAAGGCAGUAGAAACUGGAAAUGCUGUUUGCUGCAAACAGUGCCCCAGCUGAGUCCAGGCCAGACUGGACCUGAGCUCACUGAAGGAUAAGGGUCUGACUUCUUUUCCACCUGGUUCUCUGGUGUUUCUGCAUUGCCGGCCAGGGUUGGUGAUCAGCACCUGGACGUGCAGCUAUGGCUGUAAUUCACAGAUGUUAUCUGAGUCCAAUGGAAUAAGGGGCAGAGCCAGGUUCGAAGUGGAUGCCGUGGCUGAACAUCACGGCUCACUCAGCCGCCCAACAGAGACCAUCUGGAUCUGGUUCUGUUCGUCCACCUGAGACUGCCAUUCACAAGAUGGAUCUUGCAGACUUCAGCACAUCUACAGCAUCGGGAACACCAAACGAUGAUGGCCAGAAGGUGCCAGACUUGCGCGUACCCCACUCAGUUGGAACCCCACUCUGCUCCCACAGGUCGAUAUGUGCCCUCUGAGGAAACACCUUCAAGCAGAACCUCACUUUCUGAUCUUCCUGAAGUCUCAGAAUCCAGAUUACGCACCAUCCCUAUGCGGAAUCAGGACAACCUCCCUCUGAGAAUUCAGAGCCUGCAGGAUGCUUAGUAGGACAUGCCUGGAAUUACACAGAUUAUGCCUCCUUGCAUGGGAGAAGUAGAAAAGUCACAGCAUGGGUUAAAAAUACGCUUGUCUUCUCUCAAUAAUUAAUUGUUUAGGGAUUAACAUGAGGUUUUGUGUUUUGAAAGUAAACUAAUCCACUCGUUGGCUGGUGUGUAAUGAAGGAGAACAGGCUACUGUCAAGCAGGCUGAAAACAGUGAAAAUUAACUACAAGUGCCACGACUCACAUAUUUUAUGUAUAUGAGUAAUGUAUUCUCUGUGGGACAGAAGAUGAAAAUAUCACACAGAAAAGAAAAACACAGUGGCUACAAAUUUAAUAAAACAAGCAGUCAUACUUAGCCUCGCAGUAUAGUCUGGCAUUUUUACUGCCCGAUGGUAUCAAGGUUGGGCCAGUGCAAGAGAAUUCAUGCUCGUGAACUCACAAGAAGCACAAACUUCACUUUCUGCAGCCUCUCUGCUUGCAGAGCUAGCAAAAGGGAAGGAAAAUACAACUAAAACCCAGAAAACACUGAAUUAAAAU